AAGUCGUAACAAGGUUUCCGUAGGUGAACCUGCGGAAGGAUCAUUAUCACGUUAUCCACGUAUCAACCACUGUGAACUAGUAUUUGACCUUUGAAUUGGGAAGGUAGUGUUGUUAUUAAACCGUUAUUCAAACAACAAAGAUUGGAAGUUGUUGAGGUUUAGUACAAUCAAACAGUUUUGUUUACUUUCUGAUUCAGAGUGUAUUUUUUCCAAUCAAUUAUUUUCAUUAACCAUUUAAACCAAAAUUUUUCUAAAUUUUGAACUGAUUUAAUUUCUUACUCUUUAAAUGGAGAAGAAAUAAAUGAUUACGAAACAUAAGAACAACUCUUAGCAACGGAUAUCUUGGUUCUC
rnacentral:misc_RNA from 1 species